rnacentral:lncRNA from 1 species
UUUGUUAUGAUUUUUUUUAUUGGCAAUGUUUUCUGAAGCAUUUUAUCCAGAGAUCAUACCCCUGCACAUAAACAUGGAGAACAACAUUCAGAUAUGUACAUCAUUCUAAAUUUGUCUACAAAUAUUGGUAAAUAGAAAGUCUGAUUGUAUAAACCUUUGUAACUAUAAAUCUGAUAUUAUAUAGUACAACAAAAUAGUUUAAUAUCAACAAUUGCCAAACAUAGCAGAUUUAUCAGACCUUUCUAUAGUGCCUUCACUUAAAGUCUGGUUUCCCCUAACUGUAAAUUUGACAAAGUUUCUUCUUGUGGUAGUAGCACUGAAUUGUAUUAAAAACAUGUUUGUCUUCAAAAAGGGUGUGUGUUCAAAAAGGAAAUUUAGCAAAUUUCAUCUUUGAACACAUUAAAAAUAUAUCAAAACAUUAUUUUUUUUUCUUUAAUUAAAAAUACUUUGAUUUUUUUUACUUUUCCAAAGUUCAGAUAUAAUAAUACACACAAAAAAAACAGUACUUGGGGAAUGCAUUUUGAAAAUAAAUCAACCACCCAAGGCAAUUUAGGAGACUUGCCAGCAUUUUAAACUUGUUACAUUAUCACAAACAACAUAUUAUAUCACAUCCACCAAAAGUGACAAAUUCAAAACUGGGUUCAAUAUAUGUUUUAUUGGUACAGACCUAAAAUCAGCAUGAGGCAAGUUGAGAAAGAACCUCCAUUGAACUGAUUUGUUUUGGAUCAGAUAAUUCUGCACAAGGAAAGUUUAAAAAGAAUCUCCAAUUAACUUAAUUGUUUAAGAUCUGAUAAAUCACCUAUAAUUGCAAGUUUCCCUGAAUUAAAAUCUGUGAGUUUUUAUAUUUAAAUGGAAUAAUAAGUUAAAUAACAUAUUAAAUGGCAACACCAGGUUUCAUUGAGGAUAUUUUUAGUAAUACAUUUAUAACACAUAACUAAAAUAUGCAAUUACUAAAAUAUAUAUAUCGCCAUUUUACUCACAAUCAAAAUAUAGAAACUCACAGUUUAGUUAAUAAACAUCACAAAAUUGUUUGGCAACAAUCAAACUUCUAUGGUAUAACCUUAAAAAUAACCACCAGCUUUAAAAAUCCACCACCUUUAAAGUAAUGGCCAAGUUUUUUCUCAUAUUUUAACAAUGACGAAAUUUCAUACAAUAUAAAAUGUGUUCACAUAAGUGCAUUUAUUUAUAAACUCUGUAACAUGAAUGUUACUGUGAACAUAUAGUGUCUUUCAGUAUUUAAACUUACUUAUUUGAAAAUUUUACCAACUGAUGUACAAUUUUUAAGUCAAUAUUUACAAAUCAAUUAAGCUUUACUGAAAUUUCAUUUAUGCAAUAUUUAAACAAGAACUUUUAACUUUUAAAACUCACACAAAAUGUGACAAGUGAUUUAUUUUUUUCUCUCUCACAGUUAUCUUAAAAGUUCUUGUCAAUUCAUAAUAUAAUGUAACAAGGACAGAUAUAUAAUAAUAUGAGAAAUGGUAGUUAUAAGUUUAGUAUUUCAAAUUUGAAAAGUCUUGUUAACAUUAUACUUUACUAUUUACACUAAAAAUGCUAUCUAUAGCAAAAAAAAAUCCAACCUUCUAAAAAUACACACAAAAUACAUUGUAAAAUGGACAUCACUAACAUUGAAUCAUAUUUAACAAACUUAUUGCACAUUAUGGACAAAUAUUUUUUUAUAAAUAAAUUAUAUAAAUAACAAAUUUUACUCCCCAUUAAAAGUAAAAGCUUUAUAAAAGUAAAAGGCUUUAUACCUAUUAUUUUACACAGAAUGAUAAAAAAGUAUUGUCUAGAUCAUCUAAAUGGUGUUUUAUUUAACUCAUUUCAUCUGAAAACUUUGUAUUUUUUUACUAUAAAACAAGGAAACCUGAUGUAGUUGUCAUCGACUCAACAACCCAUCAAUAACAAAAAGUGGAAGUGGUCAUAAUUUUCAGUAACACCUGAGGCAUCUAAGGCAUCUCAAAAUAUUUUGGUAGAACCUCAAUUAAAGUUCUUGGUAGAAUCUGUAUUUGUUUUUGAAGAAAUUUAAAUUAAGUUAUACAAGAAAUAGUCAAAGAUCCUUAUAAAUAAUUGUUAAUAAUUACUAUGUGCAAUUGAUAAAUACAACAUUUAUUUCAGGAAAAUUCCUUACUUUGUGGAUACAAAUUUUCUUAUACAUACACCUAUAAGGCUAUCAUGUUUACGACAAUAUGGAAGAACAUUUUAUCAUGAUUCGAACAUCACAGAUGAUUCUUCUCCCCCUUAAAAGUCUAUCAUCAAAAAGUUUAUUUACGUAAAAAAUUUGUGUAUGGCAAAACCCCAUGUUCAUUAGUACCUUCAUAUCCCAAAAACAUUUACAUUAGAAACUACAAAAUAUUCUGAUGAGGUGUUUUGUGUUUUGUUUUGUGUUUCUGUUUUGAAUGAAGGUCUUUAAAAUGUAAAGCUAUUCAUAGUUUUUCACAACUUUAAUGAUGUUUUACUUAUAAGGACAUUCAAAAUUAGAGUUUUGAGAAAAUUUGUUUAACCAUACUUAUAUGAUAGAGACAAUCGAAAAAAUUGCAACUAAAUUUAAAGCAAAAUAUACAUCAAUGCAUUUUACCAGUAAAACUGGUAUUUGGGACUUCAAAAUAAACUGUCAUUAUAUAUAUGGUUAGAUUUUUUUUGUAUUAACUUAUAAUACCACCUUUAAAUGAAAAAAAAUAAUGGUAAAAGCAUAUUUUUAUUUAAAGAUGAGGAGUAGCAAACAAAUUAUUUAUCAAUUAAUUUGUGAAUAGUAAAGAUAUAGUAAAUUUAAAAUGGAUCUAUAAAACAGAGACAAAUAACAACAAAUGGGUCUGAGCAAGAAACUAGUUGAGAACAUCAUAUUUUUUCAAAACAAUGUUGCCAUGGUUUUAUCAUUAAAAUAAACAAAAUGAAGAACAAUGAUGACAAAUGUUGAGAUUCAGAAAGAAUGUAAGAUAUGAUCUGAUUAAAAUGUUCAUGCUAUAAUCUACAAUAUGGAAUGUCAAAAAUAAAGUAUAAUACAUCUUCUAGAAUCAACAUCAAAUACAGUCAUUCAUUUUUUACAUAACUAUUUUUGAACUGAUAUAAAUAAAAAUCUAGAGUUAAAUAUUUCUUUUUUAUGCAAAUGCUUUUAGAAGAUAAGAAUUUAUAUGAGAUUUAAAAAAAAGUUAAAUCUGCACUUAAGAUAUAUUUUUGAAAUACAUAGAAAUUUCAUAUUUACAUAUUUGCCAGCAUCAAUGAAUCAUUUUAUAGUUGCAAACUGAGAUGUGACUGAUACAAAAGCAAGGAAGUAAAUAUCUUAAAACAUAAAAUUAAGUUGGAGGAUUUAAAUUAUAAUUAAAA